GACAUGAAAAGGAAAGUAAAAUACUUUUGUUACUUUGAAAAUGACCUCAGGCUCAACUCACACAUGUCAUUAGUUGAGCUCAUUGAGACUGAAUUUCCUGACUGACCAAUUACAUUAUCUCUACACUUCUGCUUCUAUUCUUUCAACAUGGACUGUUUACAUGUGGCACACACUGUUAGCGCUUUUCAAAUAAGCUAGCAUGUGAAAAGUAGCAGCACAAGUCUAGUUACUGAACUGGCCGUGCAUGUACAAAGCACAUAAACACUGAAUGUUCAACACCACAGAUGCCCCAAACGUUUUCUCUUCUUCUGCCUCCAAUGUGCCCUGAUUGAUCGCUUUAUCAAGAUAGAUAUUGCACCCAAGAACUGCUGCCACAACCCAAUCCAUCCAUGAGAUCCACUAAACACCAUGUGUGGUUUUAAAAAAAAUCCAUUUAUCAGUAGAUUUAGUUUUGAGCAAGCAAGGUAACUAUUUCUAACCCCUCCGUAUAAGAAAAUUGGACGAAGGCUUAUAUCAGGGUAACUAAAGUUUAAAAAAAGGUGUUUUAUGUGCUGGAUUUCUGAUGAUUUAGGUCUUGGAAGACCUGAACAGCCAAGCAUAGUAUUGCAAGUAAGAAAAUGUGAAACAUUGCUAAUAACGUGCCUCAUCUACCAGUAAGGGCUUUAUUUUAUACCAAAGUUUUAAGCAGCUACAGUUUACAAUUCAAACAUGGAAAUGUAAAUACAUAUGGUUAAUGUGGAUGCAACAAAAGAGUUUUUUCUUAGAACAAAAGACUUGGACAUGGAGAAACUUAGCAAGGUUCAAGAACACAAUACAAAGGCAUGCAAUACUCCCAGACUAUUUGAAUCCAGUGCAGUGCAUUGUACAGAACAUAUAACGAUCUCCAAGAUCUGCAAAAACUUAUCAUCCAGACACUUCAUCUCAGUUGAAACACUAUCAAUAAAGCUUCAUAAGACCUUUUCAACAACUCGUGAAAAAAAGAGAAUACGAUGAAACAUGUGUUCUGUAUACACAUGUCUUUAAAAGGAGUUCCCUAAAAAACCUUGUUUCACAUAACUCUGGCUGGCCAAGUCCAGGAGCCUUUGUUUGAUGAGGACCAGACUAAGCUGACACUCCCAUGGUUGCAUACAUCAACCAUGCCCUCCCCGAGUCGGAUCUACUCAUUCUUAAUGCCAUUUAUAAUCACAUCUACAUACAGGAAAACAUGAGUAUAAUCGGAAAAUGAAGAGACUGGAAAAGGGCCACCGAAAUAGAGAAGAGGCAUGCCUAAAGCAUAUUCAUGAUAAUGUAAAAAAUCAGUUAGUAAGCUCGACAAAACAAAUGGCAGCCCGUAACACCAUUACAUAGGGCAAAGGGACAUUAGUUUGCCAGCAUUGUUUAGUGAUGCAGGGAUAAGGGGAACAUGACAAUAAUAUACGUACAUUCAUAGCCAAAGGUAGACCAUCCAAAUUAGGGGAACAUGAGAAAGAUAUAAGAUCAGUAGAUUUUGCUAACUCUAGCACUAAACUAAAUCACGAAGAUCAGUAGUUCACUGCAAAAAUAGAAUAAAGAAUGCAUGGAUGUACCUGUAGAUAAGGGGCAGACCUGUAGGUAGAAGAACCGUCUUUCAUAAGUCAGGAACAAUUUUAUGUAUCUUAGUUUUGCAAUAUGUUCCUUUGUAGGAAAGCUAUAAAGAGAACCUGAAUGCCUUGCAAUUCCUGGGAGAAAACAAUAUGGAAGCAGCAUAUUAUAAUAUAUACGAGUACCAGCAAAAUUGGUAUGUUGGUGGAACUAAAGAUCUUUUGUUGGUUUAAAUAGAUGUUGACUAAAAGAGCUAAACCCCAUUUUCUUUAUCAUGACCAGAAGUUAGAAACAUAGGUUCAAUCUAUGGGAAUGAGUAACCUGACAAAACCCUCUUUACCACAAUAGUCUAUAGAAUACAGAUUCAUUAUCUUAUAUAGUGAGCCCAUAAUGGAUUUAUGAUUGUCAGCACCAAGCUUUAGGGAAAGCAUGUGAGCUUCAGAAGAGUAAACCAAGUAAAGUAGAAACUUCGUAUAAUAAUUUACAGAGAAGAGAAUUAUAAUAAGCAUGUUAAACUUUUGACAUGCUCACUAUGGUUGUCAUAUAGCAUGGGCGUAUCCUAUAGAAACACGAAGAAGCUAUUAAAUGGCAAAGAAGAUCACCAAGUACAGAAGGAACGAUUAGAGUACCUUGUGUUCCGCGCAUGAUUUUGAGGAAUUUCUCCAAAAACAAAAUCCAGGCAAUUCAUCAGUUUACAUGUAGGAAAAGAUUACUGGGAGGCAAGUAGAAUUACCUUCUUUUCAACAUAUAGUGUGUAGAUCUGGUUCAUUUGUGUAGCGUCCCGCAAGUAUGAUUGAAAUGGUAGGUAAUAAAACCAAAAGGCAGGCACGACUGUGUUCACAAGAGAGAAAUGCUAAGUUGUUCUUAUUCACCAAAUUCUUCUGCUGGAUUAUUGCUCUUCUUUCUCAAAUCUGCACAAAUCUGUUCAGAGAAGCCAGAUAUUAGGAAAUCAAAUCAGAGUGACAAAGGAUGGAGCACCUAACAAAGGUUAGUGAACUACCUCUUCAUGCCACACCAUAAUAUGAUUACUUUCAGUCAAAUUGAUUCCCUAUUACUGUGAGUAAAACAUAUUACACGUGACUGGAUCUUAUUGUUAUAGAUUAGCAAGCAUCUCUAGAUUCUAUCACCAUAUAUAUCUUACUCCUAAAGUUACAGGGUAACCGUAAUCAUCUACUUGCAAUUUCCAAGACAUUCUUUCUAAAUGUUAUACUACAUGGCACAUGAGCCUGGCCUCUGCGUUGUGUUCUCCAUCUUGCAGCGCAUGAUGAACUACAUGGUAGAGUUCAGCCGAAGAAGAAUCAUGUGAUUUUGGAUUUUUGUGUAAUUGCUUAUAUUCCUAACUGAGAUGGGAUUACAGUUGUAAGAGUUUUCUGAACUUUAUCUUCUCAUUUGCAGUUUUGAUGGGGAUCACUACAAAUAGUUAUGUUCAUGAAUGUAAGCAUGCAUGUGUGUUUCUAUCCUCUGAUGUCCCAGCACUUAAAGUCUUCUAAAACAUUAGCUGGGUAUGUUUAGAUUCACUCUGAUUUAGCUAUGGCUCAAAAAGCAUGACCCAUAUAAUUCUUUAAUGUUGUGAAAGAUGCACAAAUGUAUCAUUUUGUUUCCUGUUGGAUAAAACAAAAGAGAUCGAGAAGUUUAAAAUUAAAGUUAGUUGUGCAGUUGCAUAGGCAUAUGAAUAAGUUACUGCAUGGGUAAGUUGGUUUCUUCUGUGAACUUGAAUACCAUAAGUUUUUGAAAAGUAAAUAUUAAUCAUCUUUGAAUUUGCAAGCCUCAAAAUUAGGGGAUAAGAUCCUAGAUCGAUCUGACAUCCUUGGUGAGGAGGGGAAGAUGGAGGAGGCACUCGUUCUCGGCACUCGGGUCUCGAUAGUAUCGGCAUCAACUGCAAUCAUCUGCAAAACACAAAAUAAAGAUCAAGCCUUGGCAACAAAAACCACAGGAAACCUGAAAUUCUGUACUGAACGAUAAGAGAUAAAUUGGGGAGAAAUUUAGGUCGCCCGAUUGAUGAGCUCCUGCAUAUGCAUACUGAAAGUAGACCUUUAUUUCACCGACAUUUGGUUCUGAACAUGUGUGCUAAUAGGGAAGUUUGUAUUCUUCUCUAUUUUGAACAGCGCACAAAGAGACUAAAAAAUGGUGAUAUGUUCCUUUCCGUGGUUUAAGAACUCUGGGACUGGCGGAGCGAGUGUAGAACGUAAUGUAUAAUCCAGCACCAGAUAGUGAUGCCUCCGUCAAUCAAAUUCCUAGGAAUUUUCUCCAGAAAUAGACCGAGGUAAUCAUUCUUUUAUACAAAAAGACCUAAAUCACUAUUGUCAAACAUCCACACUCGAACUAAAAACAUCAAUUCGUAGCUAAUCCCCGAAUACAGAUAGUAAUCCAACGAAACCAAAACACCGCAUUCACCAAAUAUGGAGAUCUGAAGAUCAGAAGGGAGGCGGAUGGCUAAACGCACACAACACACACACACACACACAUCAAGCAGGGCAGGAGGACUAGGGAGAACAGGGACUCAGAGGAAGUUACCUUGCCUGGACGGGAUUCUUGGCCGCGACGAUAGAGGCGGCGGCGACGGAGGUGACUCGAUGCGGCGGCCAGGGUGACUCCAUGCGGCGGGUAGCGAAUCCAGGCGGUAGCGCUCGCGAGGCCAUGCGGGCGCCCUAGAUCCAAUCUGUCACCCUGGUCUUGUCAAUCGAGUGAAUAGUGUUAGGAUCGGGCUUCUGCUGGGAUCGGGAUGAGCUCCAUCGCUACGUACCCUUGGCGUGUCGACGGCGUCCCUGACGGCACAUCAUGGGCAGUGGCGUUGGAGAGGAGGAGUGUGGAGGAGACGAGGUAGAGGGGCCACGGGCUCGAGGGCAGCGACGUGGGAGAGGAGGGAGGAGGGAGCAGGGAGGAGACGAUGCGGAGGGGGCGCAGGCUUGACGAGAAGGAUGGGUGUGGCGCACAGGCAGAUGGGAUUGAUGAAUCUCGAUGGCGACGAGACGCGCACGCAGCCAGUAUCACCGAUGAACGGGACCAGGAGCAGCGCAGACCCACCCAUCAUCGCUAUAGAGCAGACGUGGGUGCAUAUGCUGGGCACAUAUGCAUCGGUCUAUCCUUGCGCAACUACUCCCCGUAACGCAUGAUGCAGGAGCGCGCGAGGAGCGGGCCCCAAGCACGUUUGACCCGGGACGCGACACGAUGGAGGAGGCAACGCGCACAUGAAAAGGUCACAGCCAUCAGAUCGACAUGUGGGACCAAAGAGCAGGCAGGUCCACUUGCAGCCGCACCAACAGGCGAACUAGAGGAGCGAGCAAACCAGAAACUGGGCGCUGCCCAUGAUGCGCGCACGCGGCACGGCAGGAGAGGCCGCUCCCGCACCCAAAAAACUUUGACACAGCAAAUCCACUUUUGCGUGAGCCCACAGGUCAUUCCCCGUUCACGUUUCACUGCACGGUCAAAACGACAACACAUGUUCUCCAGCCAGAUCCAACGACCAGCAGCGAAAAAAAGACUUGGUCAACCCUCAUCGAACGGCUAGCGAAGGAACUGAUCGAGGGAGCAUUCUCCAAGCGAGUUGGCUAGCCUUUGUAUUGUUUUAAAUAAUUCUAUGGUUCUCCAUCAGUUUGUUGAGAGGAAUGAACAAUUCCUUUAAUACCAACUAAUCUUUGACAGACGUCGCACUGUCCAUGUUGCUCUCCCUGCUCCUGCCUUCUUUGACUUCCAGGCCAAAGGGAGAUAUGUUAUAACCAGGGAGGAGGCGAACGAGUAUGAGAGGAGGAUGAAGGCAGCUCGCCUCCAAGCUGCAGCUCAUCAGGCAAUAGCCGCUGCAUCUCAGUACGACCCCAGUUACAACUUCGGAUAUCCACCAGGCCAGCCGUGGCCAUAGACCAACUUAGGCCAAAAGCCUAAGCUUGGGGGGUACGUAUUUCUCACCGACAUUACAUUCAUGUUCACACACUCAUGCCAGUUGUCGGUGCCCAUACUUUUUCACUGUACUAUCCAUGCUAGUUUAUUUUCUGUUUUAAGUCUUCUUCUUGUGUGUUCGAAUAACCUUGAGAAAAAACAAAAAAAUUAGUUGUAGCUUUUAGCUAGUUUACUUUCCAUGCUUGUAGUAGUAAUAAUUAAAAGAAAACCCCAAAAGAUUUCUUGUUCUUCUUUUGCUUGUUGGGAGCUUUCUUGUGUAAAUAGUUUUAUUUUUUUUCUUUUCUUUGGGAGUUAAGAGGAGAAGACCAUGAUCAAAAUGUUGAAGUGGCUCUUAUAUGCAUGUUGUUGACUUAACCAGGAGCCCAUAUUACCUUGUUUUCUCCUGUGUAUUAAAUGCUUGCAGAUUCCAGCUUAGUCCAUUGCAUGUGCACUAUUAUUAUUAUCCACACCAUUCAGUCGUGCAAGUGAAAGGCAAUAAUGAUGAUAUAUGAUGGAUUGCAUGAGAUGAGAGAAACGGGUACGAACUCGACCUCUCUUGUUUUUGUAAAUAUGAUUAGUUCAUCGUUCCUGAUUCAGCCUAUUAUGAAUGAAACAUGCUUGAAAUGACAAUUAGAGAUUAUAGUUGCUUAUGCCAUGCUUAAUUAGCUAAGAGUUUAUAAUGGUUUACCUUGUGUGCCAACAUGCUAUUAAAAUGGUUGUGAUGUGGUAUGAUAGGGUGGUAUCCUCCUUUGAACGAUUCAAGUGGCUUGGCUUGGCACAUGUUCACACAUGUAGUUGAAACAAAAUCAACAUAGCCUCCACGAUAUUUAUGUUCAUGGUGAAUUAUAUCCUACUCAUGCUUGCACUCAGUGUUGAUUAAUUUUAAUGCAUGUUCAUGACUGUUUUCGCUCUCUAGUUGGUCGCUUCCCAGUCUCUUUCUAGCCUUCACUUGUACUAAGCAGGAAUACUGCUUGUGCAUCCACUUCCAUAAACCCCAAAGUUAUUCCAUAUGAGUCCACCAUACCUUCCUAUAUGCGGUAUCUACCUGCCAUUCCAAGUAAAUUUGUAUGUGCCAAACUCUAAACCUUCAAAUGAAAUUCUGUUUUGUAUGCUUGAAUAGCUCAUGUAUCAACUAGGGAUGUCUGUAUCUUCCAUGCUAGGCGGGUUAUUCUCAAGAGGAGUGGACUCCGCUCCUCACUCACAAGAAAAUGGCUGGUCACCGGGAUGCCCAGUCCCAUGCUCAAACCAAAUCAAAUUAAUUGCAAACAAAACUCCCCCGGGACUAUUGUUAGUUGGAGGCACCCGUUGUUUCGGGCAAGCCAUGGAUUGAUGCUUGUUGGUAGUGGGGGAGUAUAAACUUUACCAUUCUGCUUGGGAACCGCCUAUAAUGUGUAUAGCAUGGAAGAUAUCGAGAUCUCUCGGUUGUUAUGUUAACAAUGAAAGUAUGCCGCUCAAAAUAUUAUUUAUCUGUAUUUCAAAACAGAGCUUUGGCACCUCUACAAAUCCCUACUUCCCUCUCUGAAGGGCCUAUCUAUUUACUUUUAUGUUGAGUCAUCCUCCUCUUAUUAAAAAGCACCAAUUGGAGAGCACCGCUGUCAUUUGCAUCCAUUACUAUUAAUUUAUAUUGAGUAUGACUAUGAUUGGAUCUCUUUUACCAUGAAUUACAAUGUCGAGUUAGUCCUUGAUCUUCAGAGGUGCUCUGCAUUUUUGUUUUGCGGUCUCAGAAAGGGCUAGUGAGAUACCCUCUCGUUAUAUCAUAUUAUGAUUGUUUUGAGAAAGUGUUGUCAUCCGAGAUUUAUAUUAUUGCUCGCUAGUUGAUUAUGCCAUUGAUAUGAGUAAACAUGAGACCUAACACUACUAGGGAAAAUCCUAUACACAGAACUUUAGCAGUAGCGCGUGUUGAAAAAGGGCACUACUGCUAGAUAGCAGCAGCGCGCUCGAGAAAAACGCGUUGUAGAUACACAUAUAGCAGCAGCGCGUCCCUCCGGAAAAGUGCUACUACAAAAAUUCCUACCGCUAAGCCGAUCGGCUACACAUAGUAGUAGAGCUCUUUUAGAAACAGCGCUACUGCUAACUUUGCUGUAGCAACGCGUUUAUGUGUAAGGCGCUACUGCUAACGAAAAUAAAAUGAAAUGAAAAACAAGUAGAAAAG
rnacentral:lncRNA from 1 species